rnacentral:misc_RNA from 1 species
CGAAUGGGUCCAAAGACUCUUAAAACCUACCGUGCUCCCCUACGUGGAAAACAGGAAAGCCCUCCGGGGCAUAGGAAAUCUGAGAAGUUGAGAACUGCGCCCCCGGCGCAUGACUAAAACAAAAAAUUA